GAAGUAUGUUAGACUCAGAAUUAACUUUGUAUGCAUUAAAGAGAGCGCUUGCAGGGGUCAAACAUACUUCUCCAGGAAUGGAUGACAUAUGCUAUGAGAUGAUAAAGCACUUAUCAGAAUUAUCAUUAAGUAUGAUUUUAAGACCUUUUAACAAAAUAUAGGAGACAGGGAAUUUGCCAGAAGAUUGGAAGCAUGGGGUCAUAGUGCCAAUAGCCAAACCAGGAAAAGACCAUUCUCAGCCAAUUAAUUAUAGACCUAUUGCGCUGACAUCAAAUGUAUGCAAACUUAUGGAACGGAUGGUUAUGAACAGGUUGACUUAUGUGAUUGAAAGUAGAAUUUUUUUUUCAGCAUGUCAAAGUGGAUUUAGGAAAGGGAGAAAUACGAUGGAUUCAAUAUUGUGUUUGGAAGCUGAAAUUCGAAAAGCUCAAAUUAAUAAAGAGGUGCUUGUGGGAGUCUUUUUUGAUGUAGAAAAAGCUUACGAUAUGUUGUGGAAAGAGGGGCUUUUAAUGAAAUUGGAAAGCUUGAGAAUUGAUGGAAAAAUGUAUAACUGGAUUCUGAGUUUCUUGUUUGGAAGAACAAUUCAAGUAAGAGUAGGGACUGCUUUUUCUCAGAUUCUCCCAAUUGAGAAUGGAACUCCCCAGGGAAGUGUGAGCAGUCCUAUUCUUUUUAAUUUAAUGAUAAAUGACAUCUUUCAUAACGUUGAUACUGGAAUAGGAAGAUCAUUGUAUGCGGAUGAUGGAGCACUAUGGAAAAGGGGGCGCAAUGUUUUAUUUGUAGAAAAUAAAAUGCAAAAAGCAGUGAAUGAGGUGGAGAAUUGGGCGAAUUGUUGGGGUUUUCGGUUUUCUGUGGCAAAAACACAAGUAAUAUGCUUUUCGAAAAAGAAAAAGAAUCCAAAUUUGAAUGUCAAAAUGUAUGGUUAUCAGCUGGAACAAGUAAAUGUACUAAGAUUUUGGGGUAUGUGGAUGGACUCUAAAUUAAAUUUUAAAAUUAAUAUUCAGAAAUUGAUAGAAAAAUGCAAAAAAGGAAUAAAUGUCUUAAGGUGCUUGUCCGGAGUUGAGUGGGGGGCAAGCUGUCAGUCAUUGAAAAUUAUUUAUGGUGCUGUGAUUAGGUCAAAUAUAGAUUAUGGUAAUGUAGUUUAUGGUGCUGCGAACAAAACCUUACUUAAAAAAGUAGAGGUAAUACAAAAUCAAGCUUUGCGCAUUUGCUGUGGAGC
rnacentral:lncRNA from 1 species